UACGAAGGGGGCUAGCGUUGCUCGGAAUUACUGGGCGUAAAAGGGCGCGUAGGCGGCACUGUUAGUCAGGCGUGAAAUUCCUGGGCUCAACCCUGGGGACUGCGCUUGAUACGGCAGAGCUUGAGGAUGGAAGAGGGUCGCGGAAUUCCCAGUGUAGAGGUGAAAUUCGUAGAUAUUGGGAAGAACACCGGUGGCGAAGGCGGCGACCUGGUCCAUUACUGACGCUGAGGUGCGACAGCGU
rnacentral:rRNA from 1 species